CGAGCGAAUGGAUUGAGAGCUUGCUCUCAUGAAGUUAGCGGCGGACGGGUGAGUAACACGUGGGUAACCUGCCCAUAAGACUGGGAUAACUCCGGGAAACCGGGGCUAAUACCGGAUAACAUUUUGAACUGCAUGGUUCGAAAUUGAAAGGCGGCUUCGGCUGUCACUUAUGGAUGGACCCGCGUCGCAUUAGCUAGUUGGUGAGGUAACGGCUCACCAAGGCAACGAUGCGUAGCCGACCUGAGAGGGUGAUCGGCCACACUGGGACUGAGACACGGCCCAGACUCCUACGGGAGGCAGCAGUAGGGAAUCUUCCGCAAUGGACGAAAGUCUGACGGAGCAACGCCGCGUGAGUGAUGAAGGCUUUCGGGUCGUAAAACUCUGUUGUUAGGGAAGAACAAGUGCUAGUUGAAUAAGCUGGCACCUUGACGGUACCUAACCAGAAAGCCACGGCUAACUACGUGCCAGCAGCCGCGGUAAUACGUAGGUGGCAAGCGUUAUCCGGAAUUAUUGGGCGUAAAGCGCGCGCAGGUGGUUUCUUAAGUCUGAUGUGAAAGCCCACGGCUCAACCGUGGAGGGUCAUUGGAAA
rnacentral:rRNA from 1 species